GGGCUUUUAAAUCGACAUUUAGAGUGUUGGUUAAUUUUUCUAAGUUAAUUAGCUAAUACGAAAGAUACAAAAAAGAAAAAAAACUCUUACAUUCCUACCAAGAUGACUGAUAACCAAGUCCUGUUGCUUUCAGCCUUGUAUAAUAUACCAGUUCUAUUUUUUCAAAGCGUGGCUCAAGUUUUGUGGGACAACUUACGUUAGCUUGCUACUUUUAAGCAAUGGAAUUGGUUCAGUCAGAAACAUCUCAUUACAAUGCAAUGGUAAUGAGAAAUUUCCAUCACAAUAUGCAAAAAUUAGACAAAUUUUCAAAAGGCAUUUCUAUGAUUUCAAGGGCACUCCAACAUACAACAAACAAAAUGAUUGUGACAAUGCAACCUAUUAUGGCUUCUCUAAUGUCACAGUACAGAUCAGAACAAAACUUGCAGGUCAUUCCAUGACAAAGGUAACAAAAGCAUUGAUCAACCAUCACAGGCCUUUGUGGUGGUCUUUUGCUUAUAGAGGGCUACACCAAAUGCAUGUUUGCAAGAUAUUUCUGCAAGGAUGUGUGUCCAUGCGGGGCACACAAAUUCCUGUGUAGUGCAAGCCUUACAAAAUGCAAAACACUUGUUCAAGCAAUGCUGUCAGUCCGUUUGGUGAGGAAGGAGCCUUGAGCUUUGCAGGGAGGCUUGUUGAAUCAUCAGUUCAAAACACUGCUGCGUAGUUUUUGCGUUUGCAUGAUGGAAUAUAGAGCACUGACUAGAAGUGUUAACGUUGCAGUGUAAAUGCAGUUUAUUUUUAAAAGUAAGCUGCACUUUUACGAGCCAAACAAAUGUAUAGGUCUAUCAUGCUUGAUUUAUCUGCAGGUACACCAAAUGCUCAUAACUCCUGCACACUUAAUAGAUGCUUACUGGGAAAAAUACUAGAAAAAUAUACUAAAUCAUAAAAUCUGUUAGACUACACCUCAAGCAAUCUCUUACGUGCAAUUGUUGUAUAAAAGCCAUAAUAUAUGAAACUAUAUAUUGUAUAUAAUUUGAAAGGCCCCUUCGUGAUCACAUGUGUGUCAAAUAUACACAGCACAAAAAUAACAAAUUUCUUGAAUAUGACACUAGCCUAUCAGCAGAGCUAUAAAUACAUGGAUGAGCACUAUACAUUAACACACACUUUAUCACAGUGACUGUACGAGCUUUUCUGUCUGGAUUUGGAAGUGGCAUGCCUGAAAAAAAAAAAAAAAAUUCUGUAAGAUUGGAAAUAGUCGAUUAUCUGACUCUCGUACCUUUACUGUAGUAAACAUGAUGCCUAGCUCUCCAUUUUGAAAAUGGUGCUCCAUUAGAUCAUCAAUAAAAUUUAUCUCUGAUCCCAAGUUCCGAAUGCGAGCACGGACAACAACAUACUGGAAGACCGGAAACAGGUCAUCCAUGUUCCAAAGGAAAUCUCCCAUACCUUGUCGGACUUCCUGCAAUGGCCCAAAAUAGUGAUGAAAAUUGUGGAAAUUUGAAUAAUAUUUACAUUUCUUAACAGUAUUGAGGGCACUACUUUGACGUUGCAAAAUAGAGUCUUGAAUUUUCUUCCCAACUCAUGCCCCUAUGCAAUUUAUUACUUAUUUUAAUCAAAAGAUGUAAAUGCAAUUUCAGAUUACAUCAAGUCAGUUUUCCCCUGGCGGUAAAAGUGUUUUUCUGUACAUAUCUUAGAUAUCCCCACUACCAUCACUACUUAUGCAUAACUAUUAAUUACCGCAUAAGCUAUUACCUUAUUUAUUUCUUCAAACGCCUGACGAAUUGCAAGGAGCUUAUCAAAUGCUGUGAAUGCAGUGCUGAAAUAAACAGAGUUUUUGCA